rnacentral:rRNA from 1 species
GACGAACGCUGGCGGCGUGCUUAACACAUGCAAGUCGAACGGAAAGGCCCUGCUUUUGUGGGGUGCUCGAGUGGCGAACGGGUGAGUAACACGUGAGUAACCUGCCCUUGACUUUGGGAUAACUUCAGGAAGCUGGGGCUAAUACCGGAUAGGAGCUCCUGCUGCAUGGUGGGGGUUGGAAAGUUUCGGCGGUUGGGGAUGGACUCGCGGCUUAUCAGCUUGUUGGUGGGGUAGUGGCUUACCAAGGCUUUGACGGGUAGCCGGCCUGAGAGGGUGACCGGCCACAUUGGGACUGAGAUACGGCCCAGACUCCUACGGGAGGCAGCAGUGGGGAAUAUUGCACGAUGGGCGGAAGCCUGAUGCAGCAACGCCGCGUGCGAGAUGACGGCCUUCGGGUUGUAAACCGCUUUCGCCUGUGACGAAGCGUGAGUGACGGUAAUGGGUAAAGAAGCACCGGCUAACUACGUG